GGCUCAAGGAGGUAAAUGUCUACCAGUUAAGCCAAGAACACAGAUUUUACACACACAUUGACAUAAAAGCUGAAAAGAUUCUGAGAUAUAAUGUUAGAUUUCUCCUUUGGAACACUUACCAGUAACUACCAUGCUGCUCAUGUUAGAGUUCGGACUAUUGAGUACACUGCCUGAAAGAAGUUCGUCAGAUCCUCUCUAAAAAGAAAAAGACACUGCUGCCACUGCAGCCUUCAGGGUCUCCUCCUACACACCCACGGAGCAUCUGAGCCAGAUAAGCAGGAGACAGAAGAGAACUCAGGAUGAGCAGCAAACAGGGAAAUUGUCUGGGAACCAUCCAAGAGGAACUAUGGAGAAAGUUGUGUUAAAGAUGAUGAAAGGAACAUGUCUGAACAUGCAGAAUCUUCAGGUUGCCAGUUUAUCAUCAGCUAGCUUCACAUCCUACCUUCACGCCAACUGCAAC